ensembl:lncRNA
ACGACUUGAAUGAGCCCCAUUUGGAGCUCAGAAGUCGUCAAAAACACUAGUCCUGUUCAGUUGUAGGAGGUGGGACUAGGGGUGUUAACUGACGACAAAUGACCUGGAGCACAGCUGAUCCCCCCUCCUCCAAGACCAUCGAUCUCAACAGAACUGCUGAAGCCCAGGCUGAAGUGCAACAAGUGUUCUCAUAUCCUAUGUCCCUGUUGCCAAGCACACAGGGAUUAGACCCAAGGAUGGCUGCAUCUCUCUUGGGAUAUUUUUCUGAUCCACAGUCCUUGGAGGAGAGAUUGGGUCCAGCACCGACCAUUUUAAAAGGAGUUGAGCUAAACCAAUGGAAUUGAUGAGAUCAACAAGUCAAGAUGUGUUUGUCCUGGGGACCUACACUAAAAACAGUAAAGUACAGGCAGCACAGUUUCCAUUAUUUAAGAUAACAGCAGUUUAAUGUAGCUUAAUGUAUGUAGCUAAUAUACCCUACUCGAACUGGUAAUACAGUUUACGCUACUUUAUCGUGAGUCUUUAAUUAAUCUCUCUUCUUUUCUUUUUUUAGUAGUGGUUCAGCAGUUAAUAGUAGUUCAGCUGCAGCACAUACAGUACAUUUUUCCAUGUUUGUCCCAGGCAGUAAUAAGCCCUACUGGUCACAAUUUCACAUAAUGAUAUACUGAAAUUAAAAAAUAUUCAACUUGUAUCAUUCACACAUAGUUAAAUAUAUGACUGUAUUGCCCAGGUCUCUUCUAAGCUAAUGAAUUUAAGCACAAGAUUAAAUCUUAGGUCAAGUAAUCAAGACAAGGAGCAAAUUAUUAUUUUUUAUUCCACUAGUCUUGAAAAAGAAGUGACUUCUCUUCCUACACCCAUCUGGGCUAUCAUAGCAUGGGUGGGUCUGCUCAGCAUGUCCUCAGGCUUUAUAGUUGCUUGUGCAAAUAUAGUCUCAUCACUAUUUUAAGCAUAAUACAGCUGGAUCUGGUUUAAUUUUGCUGAAGUUUAAAUGACUCUUCCACCCUUUUCAUGUAUGGUGGUUACUACAGUGGACAGCUAUUUAAAAGCUGUUUUCUUGUAUGUGCAUUGAUUCUGACCGAUAAAUUGCAUAUAAUCCACUUCACUGGACACUAGUACGUUAGUCUGUUACGCUGCCACUCACUGGUAAGCCAUUGUAAGUGCAAAACUCAUUAUUGAAACAAAGAUGGCCGACGGAAAGCCAGACAGGCCAAGUACCUCAGGAAUAUCUUGCCUUAUAAAAUCCAUCUAUAUAUGCUACUAAAAUGUAAUUAGCAGUUUUUGUAACAAAACCUUUAUUUUGUGCAGUUAAUUUCUAUUAUGUGAAUAAUAGGUAAUGUAUAUGUAAUUUGUAAAGUUCAAGUGUAGAGCGUGAUAGAAAAGCCUACAGGAUAGUGAAGCAAAUUCCAUCUAGAUUAAGUGAGGAUGAUGCUAGUAGCAAUGUAAUGAGCAGUGUUAGAAACAUUUUAAAAAAUAUCAACAGUAGUAACAACAUUUCAAAAAAUAAGGUCCUAGCUUUGAGAUGUAAUCUGUUUUAGUAAUCUGUUACAUGUUAAAAACAAAGUUCAGUUUUUGUUUUUUUUAUGCCCAAAGGGUCAUAAAAUCACUGAGAAAAUAAUCUUGAUUGUGGCUUUCAUAAUACAUGCAUGAAAGGGUUAAAUGAAAACUGUUCCCUGUCCCACACUUAUCGAUCAAUAUCAAGAUGUCACUGAGGCUCACACAACAUGUAGACAGACAGCAACACCUGUGCGCUAAAGAUCAACAUUCAUAUUUUUGGAGGAUGGAGACACCCCAGACACUGUAAUAUUGGCAGUAGACCUAUGGGGUGCCAUAUGGGGUUGACAAACCAAAUUGAGAUUGUCUCCCUUUAAGAAUAUUCACAGAAAAGGACAAUUGAUUGUGCUGAAGACAGCCUCUAACACAUUACAAACUAACCAGAUAUUGAAAUCUAGGUCUUUGUCCAAAGAAUGACGGUGUUAUAGAGGCUCAAAGAUUGAAGCUCAAAGGUUAGUUGAGCUUCUGUGUUUCCAUAUUACAGUAUGUCUUUCAAAUCAUAUUCUCAAAAGAACGAAUUGUCACUUUAUAUUUGUCUCAGUCAAUAUCCAGCACAACUACAGUUUUACUGAGUCCCUCCAGACAAGGCUCUAAGCAUCCCCACACAAAGUAACACCAGCUCCUGCCUCAUAAGCGCUGGGUUUCAGCUGUGGUCAGCUGUGUUUUCCACCACAUUUUCUGUCUGCAGUGGCUAAUAAGACUAUUUGGCUGAGAUGCAGUUCUCAAUAAUGCAUUAGACAGGCAAGCUACAGUAGCACCCCUGGGUUCCUUCUGUGUCAGCAACAACCCCCCACAACCACCUAAAACCAACCCAUCCACCACCCACACACACACACACACACACACAGAUUGUACAGCCAAAUGCAUGGAUGCUGUUGCCUCUGCAGUCUGAUUCAAAGGUGAGUAAGGCCUAUUGAUUUGUGGACAGAAAGCACCACUUCUCAACUUCUCUGAGGCCUGGCUGAAAAAUGGAUUGGAGUGAGGAAGGUGGUGGGAAUGUGAGCGAGAUGGUGGGGGGGUGCAAGCCAGAGAAACCAUCUAGAAACAAGAGUAGCAGUAUGAAACCAAUAGCAAUAAACAGUGAACAACAAACUAAUAAAUAAAAUCA